rnacentral:rRNA from 1 species
GACGAACGCUGGCGGCGUGCUUAACACAUGCAAGUCGAACGAUGAAGCUGGAGCUUGCUCCGGCGGAUUAGUGGCGAACGGGUGAGUAACACGUGAGCGAUCUGCCCUUCACUCUGGGAUAACUGCGGGAAACUGUAGCUAAUACCGGAUACGAAGCCUUGGGGCAUCCCAGGGCUUGGAAAGAAUUUCGGUGAAGGAUGAGCUCGCGGCCUAUCAGCUAGUUGGUGAGGUAAUGGCUCACCAAGGCGACGACGGGUAGCCGGCCUGAGAGGGUGACCGGCCACACUGGGACUGAGACACGGCCCAGACUCCUACGGGAGGCAGCAGUGGGGAAUAUUGCACAAUGGGCGAAAGCCUGAUGCAGCAACGCCGCGUGAGGGAUGAAGGCCUUCGGGUUGUAAACCUCUUUUAGUAGGGAAGAAGCGCAAGUGACGGUACCUACAGAAAAAGCACCGGCUAACUACGUGCCAGCAGCCGCCGUAA